rnacentral:rRNA from 1 species
GACGAACGCUGGCGGCGUGCCUAACACAUGCAAGUCGAGCGAGUGGAGUUCUUCGGAACAAAGCUAGCGGCGGACGGGUGAGUAACACGUGGGCAACCUGCCUCAUAGAGGGGAAUAGCCUCCCGAAAGGGAGAUUAAUACCGCAUAAGAUUGUAGCCUCGCAUGAAGUAGCAAUUAAAGGAGUAAUCCGCUAUGAGAUGGGCCCGCGGCGCAUUAGCUAGUUGGGGAGGUAACGGCUCACCAAGGCGACGAUGCGUAGCCGUCCUGAGAGGGUGAUCGGCCACAUUGGGACUGAGACACGGCCCAGACUCCUACGGGAGGGAGCAGUGGGGAAUAUUGCACAAUGGGGGAAACCCUGAUGCAGCAACGCCGCGUGAGUGAUGACGGCCUUCGGGUUGUAAAGCUCUGUCUUCAGGGACGAUAAUGACGGUACCUGAGGAGGAAGCCACGGCUAACUACGUGCCAGCCGCCGCCGUAA